rnacentral:rRNA from 1 species
CGACGGAGGCGGGCGUGAGCUCGGGCGUGAGCGCGGGGGUGGGUGGGUGCGACGAGAGAAGGGCCUAGGGGAGGGUGCUUGGGAUCGGAGGACCACUGCGGUGGGGAAGGAAGGGGGCAGGGGGAGGGGGGGCGCGCGGCGCUCGGGGAGGGAGGAGAAGCGCAAAGCCCGCCGGUACCUGCUGAGGUACUCGCCCUGGUGGCGGCAGCGCCGCGAGCACCGGCCGCCGCGUGAGGUGCCCCGAGCCCUGCAGGCGCUGCCGCGCCCGACACCUGGCUCUCCGUCCCGAGCCCUGCAGGCGCCGCCGCGCACGCCACCUGGCUCUCCGUCCCGGGCACUACGUAAGGCAAGCUCCCCGACCAGCCCAACCGCGCCCUAGACUCGGUGGCAGCUACCUAAAGAGCGUCGAACCGAGGACAACGAAACCUAGGCCACGAACGAUCUCCUCUUCUAAUUACCAGGUUGUGCCGAAGUACUAAAUACUCGACCUCCUCUCCCGUAACCUACUUGAUUAGUCAAGCUUCGACAUCUCAAACCUCCACCUACAAUGAUUUCCCUCCUUCAACUAGUGUUCAAAAGAAAGUCGUUAACCACUCAAUGUCAAAACAAAGUGAAAAGUUCCUACUCAUAGAAAUGAAACUUUUACUUGACCAGUAUAAAGAUAACCUUUACUUCACUACAACGAAGGGUCCAUUUAUUGACUUAAGAGAAGAUGAAAUCAUCUAAGUCAUUGAAAAGAAAUCUCAACAACAAAUUGUCAUCGUGAUGGGAACUCAUUGAUCUAGUUACCGACGGUGAUACAUUUAGAAUCAAGGUCAUGUAUACUAUUAGUACCAAGAAGACAGAACCAGACUACUAAAAUGUGUACGGUUGUUCGUAGGUACGCUAUACAAGAAAUGAAGACGUGGAUUGUCGUACAAAAGGGUGUUUUUUCAUGUGCACAGCGCCGUUAGUACGCAAAAUAGUAGAUAUGAUGAUAAUUUUCUCGUUUGUAUUUGGGGAGAUUUCGGUGGGUUGUUUAAUAUGUGCCUCAUUAGUUCUGGGAGGCUAAUUCAGUUGAAUUUGUGUAGGAUGUCAGAUAUAAUGCGAUUACUACAUAGUUGGUCUAGCUGCAGAGUCUACUUUUCAAGACGGGUCGUCUGCGGCACCAGACGGUUAGGAGAAGCGCGAAGCACAGGGGGCGGGCGUCGAGCGCCUAUCUAAGGCGGGCAGAGGUAGCAAGGGGUGGGGAGGGAGGACCGGAGGAGAGAGGAGGAGCGGCGGCGAUGUCCUCCGGCGGCCCGCUUCGAGCUGGACGCAGCCGCCGCGGCCCAAGCGAGAGGGAGCUCGCCGCAGUCGCUGCGCCCUACGCCGUCCGAGCCGGACGCAGCCGCCGCGGCCACAGGGAGAGGAGGCAGCUCGCCACCGCCGCACUCCGCGUAGUCCUAGCUGGACGCCGCCGCCGCCGCCGCCGCCCUAGUGAGAGGAGGCAGCUCAUCGCCGCCGUCACGCCCUGCGUCGCCCGCCGCGUAGCGCCAUUGGAUCGAGGAAGGGCAUGUUGGUGAGGCAGGGGCACGAGAUAAGACGGGCUGGGCUGAUCCUAAGACGGGCAGGGGCACGAGAUAGGCGCGGAGUGUAGGGGGUCGGAGGAGAGGUACACCGGGACGCUACGACGGCGGAGCGACAGGGGUAGCGAGGGGCACGGCCAACGUCGGAGGGGUUGGGAGGAGAGGUAAGUGGUCGAAGCGUGCCAGAGGUGCCGACGAUGUUGUUACAAGUAUAGGAUCUAACUGCGGCGUACCCAUCGUCGACCUGGGCAGUAGUUGGUCUUGGUCCAUUAUGUUUAGGCGGAUACGCAGAAGAUAAGAAUUAGUAACAAAGAUAUGUCCACCUCUCUGUCGGGACGAGCUCAACUACAACGAAAUACACCAAUGCUUAAUGCUAGUAUCUCAACAGUAGGAGCCAUGGAACCAGUAGGAGUGUACAGUUGGGCGGUAGAUUUUCUUCGCUGUAACUCUUCUUUUACCCAUCUUACCACAUGGACGACUACACAAGAAAUAUGAGGAUAUACGCUGAACAACCAAGUCUUAGGCAAUACACUAAUGAUGUAAUAGUGUUUUACAAUCUACACAAACAAUUGGUACGUUCCAUUCAUUUAUGGCGCAUUUGUCUAGGGUACGGAUAAGUGGGGGCCGAGAUGGGUUUAGGGGUGGAACUCGAGGAAGGAGUACACCUAUUGGGAACAGCUCAAGAUAUAUUAACUAACCUAUUGGGUACACCUAAAGGCAUAUUGACGAAACGACAUUUUAAACAGGUUUAGAUUGAUUACGUACUGCUAUUAAAGUUAGAGAACACAAGGAUCUAAAAUAAUGUUCUAAUUAAUGACCCAGGAUACUUAAAAAAAUCAUUUUCUAAACACUCAUAAAAAGACGUAGCCCAUGAUACUUAACUAUUUACAACCUUACAACUGAUCUAACAGAUACGUAACCAACUUUGUUUGUCCAAAGAAAAAGAAAGGGUAAGACAACUGCGAUUGUUGAACUAGACUAAUGUAAACGCAAACGUAAUGGUAAGGAGUUUGUUUGUGUAGGGAUUUACGAAAUGAACCAAACCAGAAAACCCCAUACGGUCUAAAGAAACAAAGUAAUUUCCUAUAACCAAUAAUACAUUUAAACUGGGAAUUGUCAAGGACUGCCUUUCAUAUAUACUUGAGGAUUUACAGAACUUUAAAACGUCGAGUACUUUACCUAGAGACAAUAUCACUUCCUUGGUCUCCCUUCCUACGAUGACAGAAUCGUCACCACAACUAUGAAUUCGUGAGGUGGAUAAGAUUAAAAAAACAUGGAAAAGUGUUUAUUGAUAGUUUGAAUACAUAACAGUACGUUGGAUUAGACACAAGAGGUAACGUAGUCGAUGUUAAAAAAAACUCUUUCUCUGAUUUUCCGCAUAUCUACUCAUUGUCUAUACUUUUUAUGAACAUAUGUAGUACAGAACCUAUUCUUUGUCAUACUUUUGAAGUUACUUUUUAACAAUCAGUUAUAGUUUGUCGGCGUUGAUAGGACUAAACUGCUGCGAAUACGGUUAAGUCAACAACAUCGUCUCAUAACUAGAUUAUGAGUAGACAUAUAUAGAAAAAUUUAGAUUAUUCACUUGCCUACCAGUACUUCACUACAAAUUAAUAGUUCUACACUUGAACAAGAAAGCUGUCCACUAAUACACCUCGAACACUUCCUUUUUCCGUUUGGUUGUUCGAACCCGUUAGCAGAUAACCGCUGUUGGACCUGGUUAAUCCUACAUAUGGACUUCCUCACUUAGAUGACCAAGUCGACCUUUAACUAGAGAUAAACCAAAGACAAAAACGCAAACCAAAACGGCCGACGAGCAGGAAGCAUACGAGUAGGUAGAACCGACGAGACGAACGGACGAAGAGGAGAGAUUGAGUCCAUUUACCUGGCAAGAAAUUAAAUAUACCCCACAACCUUUAUACGGGAUCUCCGUUAUUAUUUUACCAAUAAUAAUAUAAAAGAACAAGUACUAUUAACAGAUAACAAGUACGAUAUUAACACAAUAGACUUUUAGCAUUAUGUACACACUUAUGUAUCUGGUGUUGUACAGGGACCACUCGGAGAUCAACUGAUCGAGCAACUAUUUGUCUAUCAGUACCAAAUGACUGAUACCUGUAACCUACAGUAAUUAUUGCCCUAGUGUAGUAAUCCUCUUACUACACUACCUGUUCUGGGUUAGGAUUCGUAUCGUGUUUCUAGCACAUCAAGCAAACGAUCUCGAAAAGGUUACAGUUCAUAGAAACGGAAUCUGGUACUCUAGCACAUUGAGGGCCUACGGCAUCCUCACGAAACCUACAUGGUUUGCAGUGUUGCAUUGACCCACUGAUAUUUCCAUGUGAUAUCCAUAGAGACUUUCACAGACAACCCAACUGUGCCUAGCUCUGACCCUAAAUAGUGAGGCAUACUGCCUCUCCAUAUAGACCCGGGUGAGCCAUUACGUAGUAGUAUUACUCGAGUUACACUGGUUCACCAACCAGUGCCCUAGUACGCAAUGCCAUGCUCAUUUCACUGAACGGCCAUUGCUCUAACUUGCUCCAUAACCCUAUGGCUACUAGCUCAGAACCCGUUCAUUGCAUGGCUAACUGUUUCCCUUAAAUAUGCCCUAACUAACUUAGGAGCUGUAGCACCAAGUAGGCUACUCUAGUAGCACCUUGUACACCCUCGGUUGUACCCAUAGAUCUAGGGCGACAACCAAUAACUGGCCUCUCAGUAGAGCCAGUACAGACGCACAGAGGGCUUAAGCAUCCCAGAUGUGUGAAUUCCAAGCCACUGCGAUCCCAACAUGUCUAUAAUCAUACGCCUUUGGACUUUCAACAAGCCUCAGGGCCUACUCUAGGGCCUGCAGUGCUCCUCAAGGCCUUACCAGGCCUCCACUUCUUAAUAUAUAUCCUUCAGGUCAAAGCCGGUGGCCCUUUCAAAGCUCCCAAUAGUCAUAACAUGGCCCUGGUGGCCUUCCCAGGGCCCCCAGGUGGCCCACCCCGGUGGAUAGAGCCUCCCGGGGUACCCGACUUCACCCUCCCCUUGGUCGGGGACCACCCGACCACGCGGGGGGUACCCGGAGGGGGACGCGGAUCCCAACCUUUGGGACCCCCACCCCCCGCGGGGUGGACUGAACCCCCCUUCAAAGGGGGGAACCGGCGACGGGGGGUACAUCUACCCUAGGGUCCCGGCCGCGGGGGGGUUCCCCGGAUAUAUUUCCCCCCUCCCUCCCGUCGGCGUGGGAUCGGGGACCGCGGAGGGAGAGGGAGGGCACUGUGGAGAGGGAGGGCGAUGAAGGUGGUGGUGCGGCAGCACGACGACCUAGAGGUAGUUGGAGAGAAAGGGGAACAACCUAGUUCUUCCUCCUCUGCAGCGACGAGGCAUGCACACAACUUGCGCCUCCACGGCAGGCAAGCCGCGAGCCAGUAGCCACUAAACCUAGUGCUGCUCAUGCUGAGGUAGUUGGGGCAAGUGAACUUGCGAAGGCGAGCGCUAGAUGUUCCCAAGACGCUAGAGAACACAACGACGCAGGGCUAGAAGACGAAACAAAGUAGAGACAAGACAGUAGCUCUUACGCAGGCGAAUAAAGUCAGCAAUAUGUACAAAACCUCCAGCACCACCGCCGCAUCACGCCACACGAAAUACUGCGAAAGCAUGGACAUACUCCAACGUCUCCUGCACAGACAUGAACGACCCCAUCUUAAGUUUAACACUCCCUACCAACACGAAUCUAAACCAGCGACGACCAGCCAAGAACUCAAGUCGCGUACUUUUGGACGUUGACGAUAGUUCGCUUGGUGUCCUCCCUCGUCGUCCGUAUCUUCUUUAGGGUUCGGUUAAAACGAGUCGACAUCGUAGAAGGUGCCUGUUAUUCAGACGUGUCGUCGGACCGACUACAAGAACGAAUUAUAUUCGGUUGUUACCUCUUUGCCUGGUUCGAUAGAAAGUACUAGCCAAUGUGUGGUUCGGAUACAAAAACAACGAAGAUGUACAACGAUACUACCAGUAAGUCGGGUAAAAGAACUUGGACGUGAUGUUGCUCUCUAGACCCGACGAAGAAACACCGAAGGUUUGAACUUUACAAACAAACCUUCAAUCAAAUCUAAAAACAACACCUAAGUGUUGAAGAGUGUACAUGGUAGGAGAAUCUGGAAAUCUAAAGGUUUCUUUGAUUUACUUCUAUACCACCAUACCAGAGUUAUCAUCUUGAAUUUCGGAAGGUACGAAAUAUAAAAGAGAUUUUAAACGAGAGCUUCUUAGUACAUAGAUACAAUCUAGACCACUCUUUUCCGUCGAAGGUUCGUCUCCUACACCCUCACAACCGGUGUAAACUAAAAGCUGAACCUACAGAUUUAUAAGAGUGUUAUGAACCGAGGGAGAGCCGGAAACGCGGUAACCGCGUUGCUCAGUAGAUCAUAUACGUUUAGUAGUUGUUUUGUUACCAUGUUGUUUGUUUGACUGUUACUCAUUUAUUUACUCGUUUGAACAAGUGACCUUACGGACGCAUGUGAGAUGAUGAUGGAGAUUCAGACGUAUUUAGUCACAUAUAAGUCAUAUUAAAACGGAAAGACCAAUAGAAUACACGCGACGGUAAAAGAACAAUAAUGCGAACGAGUAAGGAACGACAAAAUAAAAGACAAGAAUGGAAACCGUAACGAACAUGUCACGACCAUACAAACGUGAACAUAUCGAAACAGUUUUACAUCUAGGACAGUUUUGUACUACACACAAAGUACGGAGUUGUCAUAUUGACUACUCGUACGUAAUGGAAAGUAACUACGGUUUGACUACGAAGUUAAAGUUUAAACGAUCAAGUCAUCCACUUUCUGUCUCUAUUCUUUCGCCAUUCGCCAC